AGUGAACGCUGGCGGUAGGCCUAACACAUGCAAGUCGAACGGCAGCACAGUAAGAGCUUGCUCUUACGGGUGGCGAGUGGCGGACGGGUGAGGAAUACAUCGGAAUCUACUUUUUCGUGGGGGAUAACGUAGGGAAACUUACGCUAAUACCGCAUACGACCUACGGGUGAAAGCAGGGGAUCUUCGGACCUUGCGCGAUUGAAUGAGCCGAUGUCGGAUUAGCUAGUUGGCGGGGUAAAGGCCCACCAAGGCGACGAUCCGUAGCUGGUCUGAGAGGAUGAUCGGCCACCCUGGAACGGGGACCCGGUCCAGACUCCUCCGGGGGGCAGCAGUGGGGAAUAUUGGAAAAUGGGCGCAAGCCUGAUCCAGCCAUACCGCGUGGGUGAAGAAGGCCUUCGGGUUGUAAAGCCCUUUUGUUGGGAAAAAAAAGCAGCAGGUUAAUACCCCGCUGUUCUGACGGUACCAAAAGAAUAAGCACCGGCUACCGUCG
rnacentral:rRNA from 1 species